rnacentral:rRNA from 1 species
CUCGUAGGCGGUUUGUCGCGUCUGCUGUGAAAUCCCGAGGCUCAACCUCGGGCCUGCAGUGGGUACGGGCAGACUAGAGUGCGGUAGGGGAGAUUGGAAUUCCUGGUGUAGCGGUGGAAUGCGCAGAUAUCAGGAGGAACACCGAUGGCGAAGGCAGAUCUCUGGGCCGUAACUGACGCUGAGGAGCGAAAGCGUGGGAGCGAACA